AUUGCAACCUUGAGGGGGCUUGUAUAUUUACACAGUUCUGCAUUGAGAAGGAUAAUUUCUCCGAUUCUGUGUGAGGUUUUGUGCUUUUUUAAAAUCACUUUAAAUUUUGAACUUUUGGUAUUUCAACAUUGAAGUAUGUCGAGUGGAAAGACACCAUACCAAGGGAAUAGCCGUUGUUUUGGAGAAUAUAGAUGUCCUGAGUGUAACCGCGGGUGGAUGAGCGCCAACAGUUGGGCCAACUCUGGUCAGCAGUGUCAGAAUUGUAAUAUUUUGGUGUACCCGCACACGCAGCGUCCGCUGCAAAAACCUGAUGGGCUGGACAAGGGGGAUAGCUCUAAGCAGCACCCUCAGCACUUGUGUGAAAAAUGCAAGAGCCUCGGUCACUUUUGUGGGGAUCGUUACCGUUAUCGUUACCGUUAAAGUUAAUUCAGAACUGUCACCAGGGCAAGUUUGAUUUAUCAUAAUUUCUGGACGAGAUACAUGAACUGAUUUUCAAAUGACAAUAAUGUAAUUCUUCAUUCCGUUUCUUUUAAAUUUUAAAAGGCUUUAUUUAAACAAUGGGCAGUUGAGGAAAUAAAAGAUAGCUGAAGGCAAUAUAGCUAGUAUCCAUAAUAAGUGUGGCAAUUUAAAUCUUUUUUCAAAUGUUAAGAAGUACAGGGCUGUUCAUUGCAAAAUUUUCAAGAAUACUGCUCACCAUGUUCAAUAAAUAGUUUCAUAUUGUCGGUUUCAGUAAUGAAGAAGUUUUUCUGAAAGUUUUA